rnacentral:rRNA from 1 species
AAUCAACGCUGGCGGCGUGCCUAACACAUGCAAGUCGAACGCGAAAGUCCCGCAAGGGGCGAGUAGAGUGGCAAACGGGUGAGUAACGCGUGGGUGACCUGCCUUCGAGUGGGGGAUAACGUCUCGAAAGGGACGCUAAUACCGCAUGACAUCCUGCUUUUGAACAAGGUGGAGAUCAAAGCUAGGGAUCGCAAGACCUGGCGCUUGAAGAGGGGCCCGCGUCCGAUAGCUAGUUGGUGAGGUAACGGCUCACCAAGGCGACGAUCGGUAUCCGGCCUGAGAGGGCGGACGGACACACUGGGACUGAGACACGGCCCAGACUCCUACGGGAGGCAGCAGUGGGGAAUUGUUCGCAAUGGGCGCAAGCCUGACGACGCAACGCCGCGUGGAGGACGAAGAUCUUCGGGUCGUAAACUCCUGUCGAGC